ACGCCAUAAAUACAAAGAAUUCAGUGUAAAAAACACCACGUCGCCCUCUAGAGGAGGCACUGCAAGCUACCGCUGCUAAACUGCAAGAAGAAAAGUAGACUUGCGAGGUCUUUGCAAAGGCCCAAAAGUAAAAAGAAUUCGGAAAACACAACCCCAGAAUAAACCAGAGGGGUUGAUUCCACUAUAUAUGUUUCUUUCUCAAAGCUUUGUCCUUCUGGUAAAAUACAUUUUUUGGCAGGAAGUCAGUUGUGCAAAAAAGACUUUCUAAAGUGUCUCAGAUGUUCUUCACACAUGUGAAAUGACAAGUUUUAGUAUCCAGACUGGGGAUCGUUGUAAUCAGCUCAGCUGCUGUUUUCUGCUUAUUACUUUAAGCUUUCCUACUAAUAACACAAACAUACAUUUAACAUCAGGAGUCCCAGAGGAAAAAAAACACACAAGGUGUUAGAGAAGGUUUUUGUUGCAACGGCCUUGUUGACCAACUGUUUUUGUCACUUACAAAACCACACACAUAUUUCUGUCGUUUUUAGCAGAGAGGCUGGCCACGGAAAAAGACAAACACACACACACACACACACACCGUCCUAUUUCUGCUGCAUUCAGUCUUGUCAGUCAAAGAGCGAAACACCUUCACUCCUCUGUGUCGUAUCGUUGGUGAUUUUGACCUUUACCCAAGAACUAGAGUACAGUUUCACAAUGAUUCUCAUCUCCUUGAUCACAGCAGCUCUGCUAACAGGAUCUUUUGGAAAAGGUUUUACAGAUUGCAGCUUUAACGAAUCAAAGGAAACUUCAUGUUUCACUGCAGAUCGAAAAUCUGUUCAUUUUUAUCUGUCAUACGAAUACCAUAGUGGCAAGAAGGAGCUAAAACACGGCAAGUCCGUACUCUUCCAGGUGGACCAAAAUGGAAAAGUGAUAACUGAUCACCAAUAUUUUAAACUUGUUAAUGGAACAAUCAAAUUGAACAAUGUCUCAAAGACAAAUGCUGGAGUUUACACCUUUCAAGAGUUUAACCCUGAUGGCAAAGUACUGAGAAAUUCCAGUGUGAAUCUCAGAGUACUUGCUCCUGUGUCUGUGUUAACGGUGUCUCAGCAGUGUUUGUCACCAGAACAGCAGAAAGUCACCUGCUUCUAUGAGGGAGAUGAAGCAGAGCUCACUCUGACUUUGAAUGGUUUCUUACUUUUACAAACUAACAAACACAGUCAGUCCCUGAACAAUGACACAUCUGAUAGAUCCAGUGUGUUUAAUGUUUCCAUCAUCAUACAUGGACAGCUUUUUGGAAACAUCACGUGUAAAGUCUGGAACGAUGUCAGCAGAGAUGAGACGGUUAAAACCAUCACUGCUUGCAACGGUGCAGUAUACAUUUUCCUCAGAGAAAUGUUGGACAAAUUCAAAUCAUCAGUUUAUGUGGCUGUAGUUGCUGCAGUGUUGCCACUCUUAGUUUUUGUUGCUUUGACUGCCACUCCUAUUGGAAAUAGUAAAAAACAAAAAGCAGAAAAUAGGUAUGAUUUUGACAUUUUACAACAUAAACCCCCAGAUGACUUAGAAACUAAAGUUAUCUUCAUGAAAGUUAAAGUGAAAUAAAAAAUUGAGAAAAACUGAAGCCAAACUCCAAGAUAGAGUUUGACAAUCAUUUUGAUUUAUCCCUUAAUUAAAGUAUUGUUAAUAUGUCAUUUUGUUCUUCUGUCUUUGCUUCACUGAAGACAAUUUUACCAAUGGAUAGAUUUACUUUACUUUAAUUUCAAAGUUUAUGCUGUAAGAGUUGUAAAUGUACGUGAAAUGUUUGUUUUUCUAUAUGUUGCCACAAGAUGAAGCCACAUUACUUCUCUUUAUCAACCUGUUAGACUGAUAUGUUUUUUCUUUCUUCUUAAAUGCCAUUUUAUGAAACUCUUUAAGGUUAAUGUGUCUUUUCUUCAUUAAUAACGCAUUGGUAUUUUUAAUGUGUUUUUAAUUUUGUUAUUUCUGAAAUGUUUAUCGAAGAAAAUAAAAUCCCAGUCAUGAAGUCUAUAUGGGCUGACAUAGAGAGAAAUUUUAUUUUUCUGAAAUUUUGAGAAUGUACAUGAACCACUAUUCUACACUGUAACAGCUGGAAAUACAAAUUGUUUGGUGGAAUUGAGCUCAUGAGGCAGAAGAUAAAAUAUAUAAAAAAGCAGUAAAUAUCACGUUAAGUCAAUGAUGCUGGAAAAUAUAAAAAGUGAAUAGCUGUAAAUGCAUGAAUAUUCUAUCAUGAGUAUUAUAUAUGUUAUAUUUUUCUUGAUCUGUUACUGUUUUUUGCUUCUCUUUUAAACAAAACUGUAUUCAGUUGUGUCUUUUGUGCUGUGUGAACUGUGUAAAUCUGUAAUAUGAAUGAAUUUAGCUUUAGAAUAUCUGUAAAAAAUGAAAAUGAAAAUCAUUUCAGACUUACGUCUUUCAAUUAUUUUGUAGUUUCUCUGCAUAUUUCAGUCCACAUUAUAGGUGUUAGUUUGAAAGUUUUAAUAGUGAGUGACAUUAUAAUGUCCUUUAAGCACUCAAAGAGAAAAAAAUAGCACUGUAGUCCAGACAACCAGAAAUGUGAUGUCCACAAAUGUAAAUACUAUUAAACAAU